UACGUAGGGUGCAAGCGUUGUCCGGAAUUAUUGGGCGUAAAGCGCGUGUAGGCGGCUUUGCAAGUCGGGUGUGAAAGCCCUCAGCUCAACUGAGGAAGUGCGCCCGAAAACUGCAGAGCUUGAGUGCCGGAGAGGGUGGCGGAAUUCCCCAAGUAGAGGUGAAAUUCGUAAGAUAUGGGGGAGGAACACCGGUGGCGAAGGCGGCCACCCUGGGAC
rnacentral:rRNA from 1 species